rnacentral:rRNA from 1 species
UACGUAGGGGGCAAGCGUUGUCCGGAAUCAUUGGGCGUAAAGAGCGUGUAGGCGGCCAUGUAGGUCCGGUGUGAAAACUCGAGGCUUAACCUCGAGAUGUCAUCGGAAACCAUUUGGCUAGAGUCCGGAAGAGGAGAGUGGAAUUCCUGGUGUAGCGGUGAAAUGCGCAGAUAUCAGGAAGAACACCAAUGGCGAAAGCAGCUCUCUGGGACGGUACUGACGCUGAGACGCGAAAGCGUGGGGAGCGAACAGG